rnacentral:tRNA from 1 species
GGGGCAUUAACUCAGUUGGUAGAGUGCUUGCAUGGCAUGCAAGAUGUCACCGGUUCAAGUCCGGUAUGCUCCA